rnacentral:rRNA from 1 species
AACGAACGCUGGCGGCAGGCCUAACACAUGCAAGUCGAGCGCGCCCUUCGGGGUGAGCGGCGGACGGGUGAGUAACGCGUGGGAACGUGCCCUUUUCUACGGAAUAGCCUCGGGAAACUGAGAGUAAUACCGUAUACGCCCUUUGGGGGAAAGAGUUAUCGGAAAAGGAUCGGCCCGCGUUGGAUUAGGUAGUUGGUGGGGUAAUGGCCUACCAAGCCGACGAUCCAUAGCUGGUUUGAGAGGAUGAUCAGCCACACUGGGACUGAGACACGGCCCAGACUCCUACGGGAGGCAGCAGUGGGGAAUCUUAGACAAUGGGGGCAACCCUGAUCUAGCCAUGCCGCGUGAGUGAUGAAGGCCUUAGGGUUGUAAAGCUCUUUCAGCUGGGAAGAUAAUGACGGUACCAGCAGAAGAAGCCCCGGCUAACUCCGUG